rnacentral:tRNA from 1 species
GCAGUGGUGGUUCAGUGGUAGAAUUCUUGCCUCCCAUGCAGGAGACCCGGGUUCAGUUCCCUGCCAAGGCA